rnacentral:lncRNA from 1 species
CCUUGUUCUAAGAUGUGAGAAAUGUUUUGAGUUAAUCACAUAAAACUCAUAGUUUGUCUUUGUUUUUGACAGCAGGAACACAUUUGCCCCUUAGUCCUGAUGAGCAUGCAGACCAUUAUUAGCAAGGAAGCUAGCUUGUUUUUUGCACCAAAGUUACCAGGUGAUGCUGAUGCUCCUGCUGACACUCCUCACCCAGGGAUCACACUUUGAGAACUGCUGCUCUGGAUAACAGCAACAUCUCCACCAGCAUUUCUGAAAAUUUAAUGUGCGUGCAACUCUCCCGGUUACCCUAUUAAAUUGCGUGCAAAGCAUGUGGGGAACUUAGGAAAAUGCAGAUUCUUACUUGGUAAGUAUGGUGUGCCAAUUUUUCUUUUCUGUGGAGCACAAUUUGAGAAGGAAGAAUCUAUAAUAUCUUCAUGUGUGUGAAUCUAU